AUACAGAAGAAAAGCGCUCCCCUUCCCGGCUCCGUGUUUUCCUGUGGAUGGUCUGCCUUGUCUACUUCCUACCAGGUUAAUGGGUCACCACCCACCAGUUACCACAACUCCUAUGGUCCAUCUUUUCCCAGACAAAACAUCCAUUCUGUCUAGGGAAAUGUACAUCAGCAGAAGAUUGGGAGGACCAAGCCAGGGUCUGAAAAUCUAACAUCCUCGGUAAGAUAAAAUUGCAGGCCACAGUUCGGCAAAUGGGAAGACUUCCUAUUUGUGUAACAAUCAGAUUGUAAUUGAAAGAUGCUGACCAGGGCGUGCGCAGGGCAUUAACAGAGGAAGCUGGAAAUGAGACAUCCUGUCUGAUGCAACCUUCCGGACACCCAAUAUGGUUGCCUGUGACACCCAACUGUCUAUAAUUAGAGUGAUUACUAGACACGCCUUGAGCUAAUGGUCUAUCAUUCAAGACAAUGCAGGGAGGUUCAGUCACGGAGUUUCUGUUCACUGGGACCUCUGAAGACCAGCCAGGAUUACAGACUUGGGUUCAUCAGAUCAGCCAGUCACCCGGACUUAAGUGUUAGCGUACAGAUAUAGGUGGUAUCUGCAAAUGGAAAACAAAGCGUUAUG